GACAAUAGCAGGAGAUGUAGUGGAAAGAAGGGGAAGACUGAACCCCCCCACCCAUCCCCCCUUUUCUCUGUCUGAAAUCGGAUUCUGAUGUAGGUUGUUCACUGUCUCCUCCUUCAAGCUCCUUAAACCCCAAAGCCACGUCUAUCCGAUUGAAAUUGUACAACCGGCUUGUGGCACAGAACCUGCUUAGAAGCAAGGAAUAAAUGUGUGUUGCGCAGACGGAUUAAAUGAAAGAGCAUUCCCUUGGCCCGAGUCCAUGACAUCCUGGACUCUUCUUCUCUUUAGCAGGUGGCCUGGCUUGCUUUUUCCCCUGUGGACUCACACUCAGUAGUUGCUGCUGUCAGGGUUUCCUUCUUCACUACUGGGUGCCCUCCCCGAUUCUAGCCUCUAAACUGACGGUGAGUAAGCCUGUAAUCCCAGCAGCCUCAGUUUUCUCCUCAGUAGUCCUUGACUCCUUCUGAGAUGGGAUGGGAUUCCAGUCGGCUGAGCAUGGAGUUGUUCACGUGGUGCUUCCAACCCGACUCCUACAAGGCUUCCUUUGUUCUGCCGGGAAAGGCUUCACCACUCUCUCUUCUAAGACGUCUCCCCCUGCUGGCUGCAAGCAGACUGUCAGUGCCAGAUUCGAACGCCCUAGAAUUUCAAGUGGCAGUUUGCAAGCCCCCGAGCCUGUGUGUCAGAUGUCACUGUGUGUCAGAUGGACUCCAGCCGAUCUCAGGAGUGAGAUAUUGAGGAUAUAUUUUCUUUUCUCCUCCUCAAUUUUUCUUUCUCCCUUUUCUGAGGCAUGCUCUUUUAGCCCAGACCGGCCUCCUGCCUCCACUGUGAGUCCUAGGUUUACAUUCAUGUGCCGCCGUGUCCAGUUUUCUGGUGAGGAGGACUGACCCCAGGGCUUUGUGGGUGAUACCUAAGCACCCUGCCAACUGAGUUACAUCCCCACCCGGCUUUGGCGGAUUCAUUCUGUGGUUCCAAAUGCUCUUGAGAAGACUUUGAAGAUACGGCUUUAUUCUGUAUUUAAAUAAAAAAAAA
rnacentral:lncRNA from 1 species